UGAAUCGCUCUUGGUGCAAGCAAAGUCGAAUAAAGAGAGCUACAAAGAACAUCUUCGCGCCUUCUCUCUCGCACAGUGUUUGAAAUCAGAUAACGCUAACAAUAGAAGUACCAUUAGUAUUUGCUGAGGACAUAGUUGGACUUGCUGGAGCGAAUGCUGCUUACAUUCAUCAUACUAGUGGAGCAUAUUUUGCUGUGUCAGAGAAUCCAGACAAUGUUGACAAGGUCACGAUCGAAAUUAGAGGCACCCUUUCACAGGUUAAGAAGGCUGACCAACUUUUAUGGGAGUCAAUAGAAAUAACUCGAAGCUUCUGGGGGGAAUUUCGCACCAGAUCGAGUUCCUACUCACAUUUGGCUGGAAGCUACCCUUCAUCUUCAUUUGCAUCUGGGCCAUCAAGAAGGGUAAAAACCUAAUUUUGGAGGCUACGGCGGUGAGAGAUUUUGGGAGAACUAAUUAUAUUUCCCUUCUUGGACUCCCUAAAACAACAUCUCGUGGUGGUCUAUAUUGUAAGAGAACAAAGAAAAAUAUUUUGUGUGCUGAAAGUGAUUAGCUCCUCUAUGUUCUUGUGUAUGUUUCCUUUUUGAAGUUUUUGCUUGCAUUUACUAAAUUUUCUCUCCGAUCUGGGGACAGAUACCCUUGAAUUUGAACUUGUCAUAAAUCAAUACACCACAAUAGCUAUUUUUUGUUUACCAAGCGACCCAAACAUAUUCAUGAUUGUCCAUGCAUUUUUCAAACUCUUUACUUCCGUUAUAUUGGCAGAGUUUCUUUUGGCCGGCCUUUUACAAUUUUACCCCAUACAAGUAUUUGUGUUCUACUACUUUCUGUACUUUGUUCUUUUCUU